rnacentral:lncRNA from 1 species
AAGGGGCUCGCGAGCCGUUUCGGUGACCGUCAUCACCCUGUCCCUUGCAGGGGGGCUUCCAUCACCCCCAUCCCUGCAGUGCGUGGGUGCACGGCUGGUGGCUGCUGCACCGCCAAGUCUCCGGCAUGUGAAGUCCUCUCCAAAGCUCGUUUGCAGCCGCCCAAUUUACCUUCCUUCUGCAGGCAAGUCCAGAGGCUCAUCCCCCUAAGGAGACAUGUUCCUAGCUAAAGAGCAGUCAAACCUGCGUGGAGCUGGCUGAAGGCGAGCGCGAUCUCAGGAGCCUCCGAGCUCCCAUUGAAUGACGUUGCCAUCUCCAGAUCUGCCCAGGUUCAAACCUUCCUCUGGCUACAAGUGUGCAUUUGAUUAGCGUUCUGGGAGUGGCUGCAGGGGGAUCUCCAUUUUCACGGCAAUCCAGGAGGUCGGGAUUUACGGAAGAUGCUUUGUGCUGCGAUUUUUGCCCAGGUGAGGAGAUGUGUGCGGUUAGCGUAGGAAAUUGAGUAGAUUGAUGUGAAAAUCAUUCCCUUUGAUUUUUUUUUCCUUUUUUUUUUUUUUUAAGAUCUGCCCAGGUUCAAACCUUCCUCUGGCUACAAGUGUGCAUUUGAUUAGCGUUCUGGGAGUGGCUGCAGGGGAAUCUCCAUUUUCACGGCAAUCCAGGAGGUCGGGAUUUACGGAAGAUGCUUUGUGCUGCGAUUUUUGCCCAGAAGGAGGCGGGGGGGCUUGCUGCGCUACGGAGGAGCCUCAGCGCCG